rnacentral:rRNA from 1 species
UACGAGGGGGGCAAAUGUUGUUCGGAAUCACUGGGCGUAAAGGGCGCGUAGGCGGUCAGCACAAGUCAGUUGUGAAAUCUCCGGGCUUAACUCGGAAAGGUCAACUGAUACUGUGCGACUAGAGUGCAGAAGGGGCAACUGGAAUUCUCGGUGUAGCGGUGAAAUGCGUAGAUAUCGAGAGGAACACCUGCGGCGAAGGCGGGUUGCUGGGCUGACACUGACGCUGAGGCACGAAGGCCAGGGGAGCAAACGGG